UGAACUUUUGUUUUGUUAUUCAAAAACCUCAGUCUCUUGAUCUCUACAGUCUGAAUCAUCCAUUACCUUUACUUCUCAUCGGUGGCCUCUUGAAUGAUAACCACAUGGAGACAUCUUCAUGUGGCCUGCUGUGUGUAAAACAGAUUCCCCACAUGAGUUGUGCAAUUUCCACCAUGCUGUCAUGAGUCAGUUUUGCCUCCAUCCCUCAUUUCCCAUUACUCCAGUCAGUUUGGAAAAGCUUACAUUUCCCUUCGCUUAGUAGAUACAUGUUUCUUAAAUAACUGUACUAAACUGGAACCAGAUGAGGUUUGCAAAAUGUGUCAGAGAUUGCUCCAUUCUCAGGAGUUUUUCCUCCCUCAGAUUUGAUCUCCUACUGGGCCAAAGCUUUACAAUUGGUGACCUUUUUGCUUGGGUCUCAAAGAAAUGGCAGUAGGGAUCGGUAAACCCACUGGCUUGGUAUUAUUGUCCUUGCAAUUGAUCUUCUGUACUUAGAAACAUUUUCCUUAGAUGUCCCAGUUUCUUUCAUGCUUUUCUCAUUUUGGUGUAAUUAAUGACAUGUGGAUGAAAAAAAACAAGUUCCCUUGAAAUAAUUUGACUCCACAUUUCUCAUAUCGCCUUUUGAGCCUUCUCAAACUUUGACGCUUCAAUUUUAUUUCCAAUGAGGGCCACCUGCUGUCAUACAUACAUCCCUGGCAUUUGGGACAUAUGAAAAAACUUACUACAUAGAACAUUCAACAUUUUCCAAGCCAAUACUCAAUACUGUAGCAAGGAUGUGUGAGAAAUUCAUGCUGUUGAAGAGUUUUUUCUCUUCCCCUUCCAGAUUUACCAGCUCGACACCUCCUGGACAGAACAUAACUGCAGAUGCAAUUUGAGGUCAAAAGUCCAUAGAUUGCCAGAGUCUUACUUGUGGCCAAAGUGGUGAAAAGCUCUAUCAUCAUCUAGAAGGGACAACUAUGACUAGAUUUAGGCAUCUUUUGAAUAUGGGGUUGGCUCCCACCAAUAUAAUAUUGCAUUAUUAUUCUGAAUAUUAACUGGGACAACUUAAAAGACACAAAUGAAAACACAAUCCCUGCUAUUUUGCAUGGCUCUGAGAACCAAUCAAAAGAAAACUCUCAGUCCCCAUUUCUCUAUCCCCAGGCGAUAAAGAAAAUUUGGUUUAUUUCUUCUCUUUAAUGUGCACUUAAAGAAUGUCUUCAAGAAAAUAAACAAAAUGUCUACUCUGCA